UCAGCUUCAACACAAACCAUGUUCUCUGUAGCUGUACUGCUGCUCCUGGCAGCUGGCUCUGGUGUGAACUGUGAACAGCUUACUCAGCCCGAGUCUCGGACUAUCCGAUCUGGUCAGUCUCUGACCAAUCCUUUGCAAUGAUUAAAGUGCCUUUAACACAUGCUUAUUGACCCACAU